rnacentral:misc_RNA from 1 species
GAUGAAGAACGCAGCGAAAUGCGAUACGUAAUGUGAAUUGCAGAUUUCAGUGAAUCAUCGAAUCUUUGAACGCACAUUGCGCCCGCCAGUAUUCUGGCGGGCAUGCCUGUUCGAGCGUCAUUUCAACCAUCAAGCCUUCGCUUGUGUUGGGGCCCCGCGGCUGCCGCGGUCCCCUAAAUCCAGUGGCGGGCUCGUCGUCGUACCGAGCGCAGUAGACAUCCUCGCUCCGGGAACCCGACGGGUGCCGGCCGUGAAACCCCCCACAUCAAGGUUGACCUCGGAUCAGGUAGGUAUACCCGCUGAACUUAAGCAUAUCAAUAAGCGGAGGA